rnacentral:rRNA from 1 species
GACGAACGCUGGCGGCGUGCUUAACACAUGCAAGUCGAACGAUGAUGCUGGAGCUUGCUCCAGUUGAUUAGUGGCGAACGGGUGAGUAACUCGUGAGCAAUCUGCCCUUGACUCUGGGAUAACUGCGGGAAACUGUAGCUAAUACCGGAUACUUUCACCGGAAGGCAUCUUCUGGUGAUGAAAGAAUUUCGGUCAGGGAUGAGCUCGCGGCCUAUCAGCUUGUUGGUGAGGUAACGGCUCACCAAGGCGACGACGGGUAACCGGCCUGAGAGGGUGACCGGUCACACUGGGACUGGGACACGGCCCAGACUCCUACGGGAGGCAGGAGUGGGGAAUAUUGCACAAUGGGCGCAAGCCUGAUGCAGCAACGCCGCGUGAGGGAUGAAGGCCUUCGGGUUGUAAACCUCUUUUAGCAGGGAAGAAGCGAAAGUGACGGUACCUGCAGAAAAAGCACCGGCUAACUACGUGCCAGCCGCCGCCGUAA